GCUUGGAGGCAAUAGUCCUGUUUCUCCUGCAGACAUUAUACUGUAAGUGGAAUUUGAGUCACAGGAUUCCAUCUGAAGCACAUCUGCUUCCAAAGGAGAAAACUGAUUCCGAAUCCUCGCAACCCAAUAUUAAUGAUUUUCUGAAAUUCUAAUCCGCAUUGGAUCGCCCAGUCUUGAUCGUUGCUUUAUUUUCUGGAUGAUUUCUUUAAUCAAUAAAUUUCUUGCACAUAAGUAAAA